rnacentral:rRNA from 1 species
UGGGAAUUUUGGACAAUGGGCGCAAGCCUGAUCCAGCCAUGCCGCGUGCGGGAAGAAGGCCUUCGGGUUGUAAACCGCUUUUGUCAGGGAAGAAAUCUUCUGAGUUAAUACCUCGGGAGGAUGACGGUACCUGAAGAAUAAGCACCGGCUAACUACGUGCCAGCAGCCGCGGUAAUACGUAAGGUGCAAGCGUUAAUCGGAAUUACUGGGCGUAAAGCGUGCGCAGGCGGUUUUGUAAGACAGAGGUGAAAUCCCCGGGCUCAACCUGGGAACUGCCUUUGUGACUGCAAGGCUUGAGUGCGGCAGAGGGGAUGGAAUUCCGCGUGUAGCAGUGAAAUGCGUAGAUAUGCGGAGGAACACCGAUGGCGAAGGCAAUCCCCUGGGCCUGCACUGACGCUCAUGCACGAAAGCGUGGGGAGCAAAACAGGAUUAGAUAGCCCUGGUAGUCCACGCCCUAAAACGAUGUCAGCUGGUUGUUGGGAAGGUUCCUUCUCAGUAACGUAGCUAACGCGUGAAGUUGACCGCCUGGGGAGUACGGCCGCAAGGUU